CUUAAAAUUCCUCAAGAGGAAUGUUCCUUGGUUGAAAAUCACCAGUGUGAAUUGAUCCUGCAAGAGAUUUGAAUCUGUAAAUAUGACGACAGACUGGACCUAUGUGUAUUUACCAGCUGUUCUGUGGCAGAUUUGAACUUGCCUUGGGAACGGAUGACUGUGCCUGAAAUACGGUUGAAUGAAUCAAUAAAUUCAUGGAAAGAGCAUAAAACUUUGAAGAAACCAUGAAAAUUUGAAGAAUUUGUACAAGCUUACAAGUGUCCAUAAAUACCAUAUGGGAAGUGAAACAGUUUGAUCAUGCUCAAAAAGACUGACUCUGAAGACGCUUGGAAGAGUUUUUCUAUGAAACAUGACAAGGUUGCUUAAUUUAGAACUCACUGGACAAAUUUCUCCUGCAUGUUUUGUUGGUGUAUGUUACCAAGAAUGCAUCAGAAAAUUACACAUAUUCGGCUCCAUGUUCUUAAAUUCUACCACCCAUAUCAACAACAGUGACCAACCACCCCAUCUACUUUUUUCAGGAUUCCCAAAAUACAUCCCUUGAUAAUCGCUUCUGCCGGUGAUUUGACCGAUUUUACCAAUCCCUAUAUUCCUUCUUAUUUCCUUUCUCCUAUUCCUUGCUAAUAGUACACUGAGUGGGCUUGAUUUUUGCAUUGGUUACCUUACUAGGGAAAAUAGUAAUUGCUACAUAAAUGUCCAUUAAGUUACU